UCAGCACCAAAUUUGUUGAAGGCUUCAGGGAUAACAAAUCCAGCAGCACCGAGCAUAGCCCAUCUAGCGUGGAUCAACUCAUAUGCCUGAUAUCUACAGUAGAUCGAGCAUAUUAACAUUAAAAUCUAUCUCCACAAACAACACGAACGAAAUUGGCUGAGAGUAUACUUAAUUAAUGUGUCACCGCACUUACUUAGCAAAGUCUUCUGGCUUCUUGCUGAGACCAAAGGGAUCGUAACCGUAGCUGCAGCAAAUACAGAAAACUUAUUAUACUCGUAAUUUCAUCCCAAGUUUGUAUAUGUGAGCAUGCAAUUCUAGCAAAAAGACGCAAAGAUUAAGGGGGCUUACUCUCCGGGAACUUCUCCGUUCAGGUACUCGGGGAUUUCCGAUCUGUCCAAGAGACCGUCGGGUAGGAAAAUUCUUCUGUCAGGUCCUGUAAGUAGUAUUUAGAUAUCGAGUGUACGCAAAUGAAUAAAAGGGAAGUUGUAAAACGGAGACUACAGGGACUGGGAAUCUCUAGAGGUUCUAUUUGACAUUAUUGUAGUACGUACGGAUUAGCAGCAACAAGCUUAUGAAGGCAGUUAAUUAGGGAAAAUAAAAAGAGAAAAUGUAAUGGAGUACUUCCUCUGUUUCAUUUUACAUGUUAUUCAUCCAUUUUUUGUCUGAUAAUGAAAGAAUGACACAUUUCUUUUUUGAAAAUUCUUUAAUUAUAUACUCAUUUCAAUUUACGCGUCUACAUUAGUAUUUGAGGUAUUUUGAAACAUAUAUGUAGUUUCUAAAUACAUAAAUUUUUUUAAAAAAUCUUUGUCUAAUUUCAUGAUCAAAAUUAAGAACUUUGACUCUGGUGCUCCAAAUCGAGCCAUGUUUUUGCUAAAUGAUAUGCUCGUACAACCAUAAAUUCUAACGAUACAUUUGGCAUGUGCUAGAAGUCCUUUUGAUGUUCUUUCUUAAGCUCAGAGCGCAGUCAAACACCAGUCAUAUAAAAAAAAGGAAGGAGUAUGUUACUCACCGUACCACUUGGCGAGCUCCUCGUCAGCAGGGGCGAUAGCAACAGCCUUCUUAGCAGGGGCAGCAGCAGCCUUCUUUUUGAAGAGGGCAACAGUUUUGAAGGUAGCAGGUGAAGAUGGAGUAGGAGCAGCUGGCCUUGCUACACCGCUGAACUUGACCGGACUUCCCAACAUUUCUGAGACGUAGAGGGAGGUAGCUGCAGCCAUGGCUAACGGUGGAGCCGGAGGAAGUUGAGGCUGAGAUCAGUUGUUAGAGGAAGAGUUGUUGAUGAUGAGAAUUGAGAAACUGAGGAUGGUAUUUGGAGUGGAGAUAUUCACUAAAUGCUUGAUGUGGUGGAUGUAGACGUGCCAAGUGUUGA
rnacentral:lncRNA from 1 species